rnacentral:rRNA from 1 species
AAACUCUGGGUUAGUCAGAACAAGUGCUAGUUGAAUAAGCUGGCACCUUGACGGUACCUAACCAGAAAGCCUCGGCUAACUACGUGCCAGCAGCCUCGGUAAUACGUAGGUGGCAAGCGUUAUCCGGAAUUAUUGGGCGUAAAGCGCGCGCAGGUGGUUUCUUAAGUCGGAUGUGAAAGCCCACGGCUCAACCGUGGAGGGUCAUUGGAAACUGGGAGACGGAGUUCAGAAGAGGAAACGUAUCCCCAUGGA